rnacentral:rRNA from 1 species
GACGAACGCUGGCGGCGUGCUUAACACAUGCAAGUCGAACGGAAAGGCCCUGCUUUUGUGGGGUGCUCGAGUGGCGAACGGGUGAGUUACACGUGAGUAACCUGCCCUUGACUUUGGGAUAACUUCAGGAAACUGGGGCUAAUACCGGAUAGGAGCUCCUGCUGCAUGGUGGGGGUUGGAAAGUUUCGGCGGUUGGGGAUGGACUCGCGGCUUAUCAGCUUGUUGGUGGGGUAGUGGCUUACCAAGGCUUUGACGGGUAGCCGGCCUGAGAGGGUGACCGGCCACAUUGGGACUGAGAUACGGCCCAGACUCCUACGGGAGGCAGCAGUGGGGAAUAUUGCACAAUGGGCGGAAGCCUGAUGCAGCAACGCCGCGUGCGGGAUGACGGCCUUCGGGUUGUAAACCGCUUUCGCCUGUGACGAAGCGUGAGUGACGGUAAUGGGUAAAGAAGCACCGGCUAACUACGUGCCAGCAGCCGCGGUGAUACGUAGGGUGCGAGCGUUGUCCGGAUUUAUUGGGCGUAAAGGGCUCGUAGGUGGUUGAUCGCGUCGGAAGUGUAAUCUUGGGGCUUAACCCUGAGCGUGCUUUCGAUACGGGUUGACUUGAGGAAGGUAGGGGAGAAUGGAAUUCCUGGUGGAGCGGUGGAAUGCGCAGAUAUCAGGAGGAACACCAGUGGCGAAGGCGGUUCUCUGGGCCUUUCCUGACGCUGAGGAGCGAAAGCGUGGGGAGCGAACAGGCUUAGAUACCCUGGUAGUCCACGCUGUAAACGGUGGGUACUAGGUGUGGGGUCCAUUCCACGGGUUCCGUGCCGUAGCUAACGCUUUAAGUACCCCGCCUGGGGAGUACGGCCGCAAGGCUAAAACUCAAAGGAAUUGACGGGGCCCCGCACAAGCGGCGGAGCAUGCGGAUUAAUUCGAUGCAACGCGUAGAACCUUACCUGGGUUUGACAUGGAUCGGGAGUGCUCAGAGAUGGGUGUGCCUCUUUUGGGGUCGGUUCACAGGUGGUGCAUGGCUGUCGUCAGCUCGUGUCGUGAGAUGUUGGGUUAAGUCCCGCAACGAGCGCAACCCUUGUUCACUGUUGCCAGCACGUUAUGGUGGGGACUCAGUGGAGACCGCCGGGGUCAACUCGGAGGAAGGUGGGGAUGACGUCAAGUCAUCAUGCCCCUUAUGUCCAGGGCUUCACGCACGCUACAAUGGCUGGUACAGAGAGUGGCGAGCCUGUGAGGGUGAGCGAAUCUCGGAAAGCCGGUCUCAGUUCGGAUUGGGGUCUGCAACUCGACCUCAUGAAGUCGGAGUCGCUAGUAAUCGCAGAUCAGCAACGCUGCGGUGAAUACGUUCCCGGGGCU